AACGAACGCUGGCGGCAGGCUUAACACAUGCAAGUCGAACGCCCCGCAAGGGGAGUGGCAGACGGGUGAGUAACGCGUGGGAACAUACCCUUUUCUACGGAAUAGCUCUGGGAAACUGGAAUUAAUACCGUAUACGCCCUACGGGGGAAAGAUUUAUCGGGGAAGGAUUGGCCCGCGUUGGAUUAGCUAGUUGGUGGGGUAAAGGCCUACCAAGGCGACGAUCCAUAGCUGGUCUGAGAGGAUGAUCAGCCACAUUGGGACUGAGACACGGCCCAAACUCCUACGGGAGGCAGCAGUGGGGAAUAUUGGACAAUGGGCGCAAGCCUGAUCCAGCCAUGCCGCGUGAGUGAUGGAGGCCUUAGGGUUGUAAAGCUCUUUCACCGAUGAAGAUAAUGACGGUAGUCGGAGAAGAAGCCCCGGCUAACUUCGUGCCAGCAGCCGCCGCCGUAA
rnacentral:rRNA from 1 species